rnacentral:lncRNA from 1 species
AUUAAUUGAAGGCCAAUCCCCAGCAGACUAGAGACCCCCAGCAGGCAGCUUUGCCCACUAAUCAAUUACGGGACAUAGAGCAAGAAAAGAGAAGAAAGGAAAAAUCAUCUGCCAGAAAGGCACCCUCUGCCACCACGAUGAAAACUAAUUAAAUCCCUUUAUCUGCUGCAGGAAAACAAAGGAUUGAUGAUGGCAUCAAGAUGAAACGCCAGGGAAGUCACCAAAAAUCGGGGCAGAAAAUUUUCUGCCGAUUGUCGAAAAUUUUCUCGGAAGAACGGGGAAGCAAUUUCAAUACAUUUAAGUUCUAGGUCGCCCACCAGUAUAAUGCGGGAAUACAUUUAAGUUCUAGGUCGCCCACCAGUAUAAUGCGGGAAUACAUUUAAGUUCUAGGUCGCCCACCAGUAUAAUGCGGGAAUACAUUUAAGUUCUAGGUCGCCCACCAGUAUAAUGCGGGAAUACUUUUAUGUUCUAGGUCGCCCACCAGUAUAAUGCGGGAAUACAUUUAAGUUCUAGGUCGCCCACCAGUAUAAUGCGGGAAUACUUUUAAGUUCUAGGUCGCCCACCAGUAUAAUGCGGGAAUACUUUUAAGUUCUAGGUCGCCCACCAGUAUAAUGCGGGAAUACUUUUAAGUUCUAGGUC